rnacentral:lncRNA from 1 species
AGCCGCUCUAAGUCCUCCCGAUCCGCACAAGUCCCGCCCCCAGACCCUCCAAUCCGCGCUUGGCCACACCCUCCUCCUCUCCGGCCCGCGUCGUCUUCCGGGUUUCUGUUCGCCGCUCGGGCUUCCUGGUGUUCCCCGGGCGCCUUCAGUCCUCCUGCCUUGCCCUUCAGCACCGUGAUCACGUGGAACGCUGGUGGGCCGACCCGAGCUUUGCCUGAUGAGUGCCAGAACUAACAGUUGGGACUCAUGCAAAACAAUAUUCCUGGCACUAUGUGAAUCAAGAUGAGAACAAUGCCAGAGGAAGACACAUCACCCUGCAGUGCAGCAACUAACUGGCCCCAGAAUCCUUCCUGUUCAACAGCUGAGCAAAGCCACCAGAUGUUUUACAGUCUAUGCAUUUGGAUUUGAUGAAAUGAGGUGACUCUUCGUUGAACAUUCUGCAGCCCAAGCUCAUCUGCAACUCAUUAUGGAGCACCAAGUCAGCCAAAAAAUAUGUAGCAUUCUCCUGCUUCAGCUUCCAAAGUCCUACAAUUAAAGGUGUGAGCCACCAUGACCCCUACUAAUAGACUAUUUUUAUUUGUCUCCAAC